rnacentral:snoRNA from 1 species
AUUUUCCUGAUGAUAAGUUUAAUCUGAACAAAGUGCUGUUGAUUCACAACUUAAAAUUAAACCAAAAGGAUUCUGAAACCCAUUAAAU